rnacentral:rRNA from 1 species
UACGAACCGGACAAACGUUAUUCGGAAUUACUGGGCUUAAAGGGUGCGUAGGCGGCCAUGUAAGUGAGGUGUGAAAUCCCUCGGCUCAACCGAGGAACUGCGCUUCAUACUGCAUGGCUUGAGGGAGACAGGGGUAAGCGGAACUGAUGGUGGAGCGGUGAAAUGCGUUGAUAUCAUCAGGAACACCGGUGGCGAAAGCGGCUUACUGGGUCUCUUCUGACGCUGAGGUACGAAAGCUAGGGUAGCGAACGGG